rnacentral:rRNA from 1 species
UACCAGCACCCCGAGUGGUCGGGACGAUUAUUGGGCCUAAAGCAUCCGUAGCCGGCCGUACAAGUCCCCCGUUAAAUCCAACUGCUUAACAGAUGGGCUGCGGAGGAUACUAUAAGACUAGGAGGCAGGAGAGGCAAGCGGUACUCAGUGGGUAGGGGUAAAAUCCGUUGAUCCAUUGAAGACCACCAGUGGCGAAGGCGGCUUGCCAGAACGCACUCGACGGUGAGGGAUGAAAGCUGGGGGAGCAAACCGG